rnacentral:rRNA from 1 species
CUACGGGCGGCAGCAGUGAGGAAUUUUGCGCAAUGGGGGGAACCCUGACGCAGCAACGCCGCGUGAGUGAUGAAGGCUUUCGGGUCGUAAAGCUCUGUCAAGUGGGAAGAACCUAUGCAGUGUUAAUAUCACUGUAUACUGACGGUACCACUGAAGGAAGCACCGGCUAACUCCGUGCCAGCAGCCGCGGUAAUACGGGGGGUGCAAGCGUUAUUCGGAAUCAUUGGGCGUAAAGGGCACGUAGGCGGCGUGGUAAGUCAGAUGUGAAAGCCCGGGGCUUAACCCCGGAAGUGCAUUUGAUAAUGUCAGGCUUGAGUAUGGGAGAGGGAAGUGGAAUUCCUGGUGUAGAGGUGAUAUUCGUAGAUAUCAGGAGGAACACCGGUGGCGAAGGCGACUUCCUGGACCAAUACUGACGCUGAGGUGCGAAGGCGUGGGUAGCAAACAGGAUUAGAUACCCCCGUAGUC